UACGUAGGGUGCGAGCGUUAAUCGGAAUUACUGGGCAUAAAGCGUGCGCAGGCGGCUUUGCAAGACAGAUGUGAAAUCCCCGGGCUCAACCUGGGAACUGCAUUUGUGACUGCAAGGCUAGAGUACGGCAGAGGGGGAUGGAAUUCCGCGUGUAGCAGUGAAAUGCGUAGAUAUGCGGAGGAACACCAAUGGCGAAGGCAAUCCCCUGGGCCUGUACUGACGCUCAUGCACGAAAGCGUGGGGAGCAAACAGG
rnacentral:rRNA from 1 species